GAACAUAGCUCAGUUGAUAGAGCAUGAGACUCCUAAUCUCAGGGUUCUGGGUUCAAGCCCCACAUUGGACA